GCGAAGUACAUGCACAAAUUCCUCCUUGGUUAGAUUUCCCAUCUGUUUUAAAUCGUCUUCGUAAUCUUCGAUGCUGAAGUUUAUGUCCGCUUCCACUCCUCGGAAUUUAAUGGCCGCCCUAUCGUAAGCACGAGCAGCUGCAUGUGCCGUAUCGAAUCCACCGAGAUAGACUUGCUUUCCGCAAUCCCAAAUAUGCGACUCCCAACGACCGGUUCUCCGGUAGAAAGUGACGCCGCGGUACUGGGAGCUACGGGACCUUGGGCCGCGGCGGCUCUUCUUAAUGGGGUGAGAGAGGUCGGUGGGGGUGAUAGAAUUAUUAGGAGCGGCGAGAGGAUCGGGGUGGGCAAAUUUGACCCCAACCCAGUGAGCCCGAGGGAAGGCGGCAGAAGAAGGAGGUGGAAGGGGAGUUUCUUCGAGUGGGAAAAACUGGCGAGUGAUGACCAUGGGCGUGGGUUCCUCCUCAUCGGAUCCUUCCACUUCCACAUCUUCCUCCUCCUCCACAACCACAGCCGAAGAACUUGAAUUGGAAACCGAUCCCACUCUUUUCCCUUUCUCCUCCUCCCCCUCUCCUUCAAUCGAUGUCUUCGCCGACGAACAUUCAUCCUCCUCCCUCGCAUCAGGCCAAUCGUUCAGAUCCCACAUUUUUUUCUUCUUCUUCUUCUUCU
rnacentral:misc_RNA from 1 species